rnacentral:rRNA from 1 species
ACGCUGGCGGCACGCCUAACACAUGCAAGUCGAACGAAGUAGCAAUACUUAGUGGCAGACGGGUGAGUAACAUGUAGGUAUCUGCCCUUUGGCCUGGAAUAACACGAGGAAACUUGUGCUAAUACCGGAUAAGUCUUUACAGAGAAAGCUUUAUGCACCAUUGGAUGAGCCUGCACUUGAUUAGUUUGUUGGUGGGGUAAUGGCCUACCAAGACUGUGAUCAAUAGCUGAUUUGAGAGGAUGAUCAGCCACAUUGGGACUGAGACACGGCCCAAAUUCCUACGGGAGGCAGCAGUGGGGAAUCUUGCACAAUGGAGGAAACUCUGAUGCAGCGAUGCCGCGUGAGUGAAGAAGGCCUUUGGGUUGUAAAGCUCUUUCGUCGGGGAAGAAAAUGACUGUACCCGAAUAAGAAGGUCCGGCUAACUUCGUGCCAGCAGCCGCGGUAAUACGAAGGGACCUAGCGUAGUUCGGAAUUACUGGGCUUAAAGAGUUCGUAGGUGGUUGAAAAAGUUAGUGGUGAAAUCCCAGAGCUUAACUCUGGAACUGCCAUUAAAACUUUUUAGCUAGAGUAUGAUAGAGGAAAGCAGAAUUUCUAGUGUAGAGGUGAAAUUCGUAGAUAUUAGAAAGAAUACCAAUUGCGAAGGCAGCUUUCUGGAUCAUUACUGACACUGAGGAACGAAAGCAUGGGUAGCGAAGAGGAUUAGAUACCCUCGUAGUCCAUGCCGUAAACGAUGUGUGUUAGACGUUGGAAAUUUAUUUUCAGUGUCGCAGCGAAAGCGAUAAACACACCGCCUGGGGAGUACGACCGCAAGGUUAAAACUCAAAUGAAUUGACGGGGACCCGCACAAGUAGUGGAGCAUGUGGUUUAAUUCGAAGAUACGCGCAGAACCUUACCAACACUUGACAUGUUCGUCGCGACUCUAAGAGAUUAGAGUUUUCGGUUCGGCCGGACGAAACACAGGUGCUGCAUGGCUGUCGUCAGCUCGUGUCGUGAGAUGUUGGGUUAAGUCCCGCAACGAGCGCAACCCUCACUUUUAGUUGCCAUCAUUAAGUUGGGCACUCUGAAAGAACUGCCAGUGAUAAGCUGGAGGAAGGUGGGGAUGACGUCAAGUCCUCAUGGCCCUUACGUGUUGGGCUACACACGUGCUACAAUGGUAUCUACAACAGGAAGCAAGACUGCGAAGUUAAGCAAAUCCCUAAAAGAUACCUCAGUUCGGAUUGCACUCUGCAACUCGAGUGCAUGAAGCUGGAAUUACUAGUAAUCGUGGAUCAGCGUGCCACGGUGAAUGCGUUCCCGGGUCUUGUACUCACCGCCCGUCA